rnacentral:lncRNA from 1 species
AGGAGCCUCGGAGCCCCCGCAGGCCCUCGCGUCACUGCCUCAAGAGGGUGCUCGGAGCCCUGCUCGGGAGCUGGUCCCCAACGAGGUGUGGAACCCCUUCUUGCUGGAACUCCACGGAGAGACUGUCCUGCUAGGACCUGCUUCCAGAAGAGUUGAUCCCAGCCGUGAAAGUGCAUGAUGCCUUCAGCGAAGCAGGCAGGAAAGGCUCAAGUGAUCCUCCUGUAUCACCCUGGAAGCCGAACACUUGAUAAAAAGUUCAUCAGCGUAAAUAAGAAGAAUCCCCUCCAUUACAUACAAAAGAAAAAAUAACUGGAGAGAUCGUCUCUGCUCUAAGGAGAAUCUCAGAGCACCAGGAUUCUGUUUGGGGUUGCCAUGGACACAGAGUUCUUAAUCCAGUACUGGCUUAUUCUCAAUACGAGGUAAAGACCUAGAGGUGAGGGUCUCUGAGCAAGAGAAGGUUGUACUGAAGACACGAGACCUGAGACUUGUGUCAUUUUAGCGGCUGAACCGACCCCAACUUCUUCUGAGCGGCAGUGGCGCCAGAAGCAGUCUGGCUUUCAGAAUUCUGGAUUCAUUACCAGCGUCUACCAUAUGCUCUGACAACUAUGACCACAAUGGUCCACCCACAAAUGAAUUGACAACAGCAAACCCAGAGGCACGUAUCAAUGAAAGUCAUUAUUGAUCAAUCCACCGAUGACAGGUACGUUAUAAAAGAUGUACACAUGGCCAGGAGCAGUGGUUCACACCUGGAAUCUGAGCACUUUGGGAGACCAAGGCGGGCAGAUACCCUGAGGUCAGGAGUUUGAGACCAGGCUGGCAAACAUGGUGAAACCCUGUCUCUACUAAAAAUACAAUAGUUAGCCCAGCAUGGUGGCGGGUGCCUCUAAUCCCAGCUACUCAGGAGGCUGAGGCAGGAGAAUUGCUUGUACCUGGGAGGUGGACGUUGCAGUGAGCCGAGACCGUGCCACUGCAUUCCAGCCUGGGCAGCAGGAGCGAAACUCUG